UGGAGCUGGCUCGCAGGCCUGGCGUGUCUGUUCGUUCGCUGCGAAGCACGUGGUUUUCCUGCAGUUUACAGAAUAAGGCCUCGGCUUGGGGCUUUUUCUCUCAUUUUGUUUAUUUGUUGGGCUCAAUUUCGAUAUCACAAUUAGUAAAUUAACAUUCCUCCUCAGAUUGCUGCCGCUGUUUUGUUUUAGACCCGUCCACUAUUCCCCUACUUUUCUCCCUUUUCCCCCCUUCUUUUUUUCCAGGGCAUGGGUCUGCGGAUCCCUUCCCGCAUUAGUCACGGGACCGGCCCGGCCCGUAAACCACUGACGCUUUUUUUUUCUCCUUUCUUUUCCGGGCCUGUGGGCCUGCUGUCCCUAAGUUACGGGCACAGAUUCAGAGAUAACUCCGUGACAAAAGCUUAACUAACUUAUUCUGAGGCAUGUGAUUGCACACUGUAUGGGAGAAGCAUAUCUUAUUUGGAGAGUGCUGGAGCACCUUUGUCAUGCAGAGAGAUUGCGGGACUCUUCCCCACUGCUGUACUAUGCAAGCAUUUCAACUUUGAGCAUUAGCACUACGUUGGACUCAUUCUGUCAGCAUCAACCAUUUCACCCCAGGAAACAACAGGAAGGAGUUUUCCAUUCAGUGGAGUAAGGAAAAGACUUCACCUGGAAGCAGGCACUGGAGAGAACCUGGAGGGCUGCUGGAGCUGGCGUUGGAGUUUCAGAUGGAUUUCCUAUGCCCAGAAGUGAGGUUUCCAAGGCUGACACAUUUGUCUGCUCCCAUUCUGCUCAGUACCUCAGAAGGCAGGCACAGGAGGCAUGUAGCAUCCUUUGGGCACUGCUGGGAAUGUCCCAUGGGAUGUGGGGUCUGCAUGGAUGGACCCACGCUUAUCUGGUGAAAGAUGACUGCUGUGAGAGCUCAGGCUGCAGGGGAGACCAAGAGACAAUGACUCCACCACUUCUCUGUGCAGCCUGUUCCGGUGCCUGAAGAGACACCUAAACUUUGAAUCAAACAUAACCUAUGUGCUCUUCCUGGUGUGUGUUUACCCUGAAGGAAAGACCACCAUUUGAAAAUGCUCUGAAGAAUCAUUUUGCUAUCCUCACAAGAAAGAUGUCAGCAUCCCAACAUGAGGAAAAGCAAAUUCAGAGCAUGCAUCUGCAUGGGAGGCCUGACAGGGGGGAUCCUCAGCAGCUAGAAGCUGUGAGAGCCCCCACUCCAUCAUCCUGCAGGCCAUGAGCAAACCAUUGCUUUUGCCUCCUCAGUUGAUUUUCCAGCACAUUGCCCAAAUCUCAGCCUGUUUUGAUGGAGUUGUGUGCAUUUUGGAUGGUGUCCUGUGUACUCUACUUAUUUUAAAGGCUCUUUCAUUUCUGGUGGAGACAUGUCCUUCUGACAUCUUCAUGAGAAAUCGUGGAUGCAUCUUCAUGGUGCCAAGGGCGUUCCAGCACUUUUUGUUUAAAAACAGUGUCACCUUCUGAAUCAAGCUCUCCUAUUUAUGUUACACACAAGGGUAACAGCAGCUUUGAUGUAUACGUCCUAAGCCUUCUUGUCUGAAGGCAGUCUGCUAGCAAUGCUUAAGGAUGACGGUGUUCCAUUGCACGCUCUUUGAAGCAGCAGAGAUUUAUAACACGUAGAGGGUACUUUGGUCUACUGGAAUGAAACAGUCACACUGAGUUUAUGACGCUGUGGAGGAAUGCUCAACCAACUGCUGCAGAGAAGACCUGCAGUAUUCCCAGAAAAGGAGAAGGCCAUCAUUUAAAUAAAAAUUCAUUAGUUGUUAACCCCUCUUCACCAGUGAAGACAUUGGAAAGCUAUAGAGUGUCGAGAGACGUGGUACAUUUCUGGUGUUUGAUCCAGUAAUGAUCUGGCAGAAGAAGAUCAGAAUCACUGCAGAGCUGCACAGUCGAGCACAUGCACUUUCAAGGAAGAGAGGAUUCUUCAGCUAUGUUUUCAGUGUCAGGAGCUGUUCACGUCAUACCAAGGCAUAAUUCACUCUGAGACACUCAUCUUGAAAGAAACGUGAGUGUAGAAAGUAUCAGACAACCAACCAAUUGAAUAGUAUUCUGGACAGAUUUCAACCCAGGAGAUUUGUUACGAAAGUUUAUUUGUGGAGCAUGAGAACUGGAGUCCAGAGAAUCCUUUGGCUCUGGCAGCCUAGAGAAGAGAUUUUAAGGAGAACUGAUCAGGGAAAAGUACCUAAUAUAUUCUGUCAAGUCAUAGCUGACAUCGGAGAGUGAAGGCUGUUCCAGUUCAUCUCCCUGUCCUCAUUCAAGAGGAAAGGCUGUCUGAGAGGCUGGAAAUCCUGAGGAGUUUGAUCAUUCCAUGAUCUCCUAAUCACUGCAUUGCUCUUGCUUCCCAAUGCUGGUUCAAACGGGUCUUGAAAAUCAACUGUGGAGAGUCAGAUUUCCAUUCCUCUGCACCCAUGUGGAAUUCAAAUUAAAAAGACAAGAGAUUGAGGAGGAGAGAAAGAAAGAAAGAAACAAAGAAGAGGGGGAAAAAAGAAAGAAAAAACAAAGGGGUAUCCAUAAAGAUGUUCAGUCUUGUGACAGACUGGAAAAACAGAACCAACCAUGGACUGACCAAAGGGGUACGGAAUAUUUGUGCAUCAGUACUUGAGAGCACCUCCCUGCAGCGAUCACAAGACUUGAUAAGCAUGGCUGUCAUCACAGGAUGUGAAGCUCAAUCAGGGACUGAGAGAGACUGCCCCAAAGCAGCUCCUGCAGGUGAAAUCCAUUCCCAGGUUCCUCAGGCCCAGCACGAUUGAUGCCCAGCCUGGUUACAUCUGCAUCACAGAACUGCAGCCUUUGAGACACUGAAUUCUUACAAAAAUAGCAUGCAGAGGUCAUCAAAGCAGUAAGGCCUGUGUCUCCUAUCAUCAUUAGAGAAGUUAAGAAAAUAAACAACAGAGCUCCACUGAAGUCUGUGGAACUAUUAAAUUCCAAACAACCGCAGCCUGGCUUUCUGCAGAAUGCUUUCUUCCUAAAAGGUAAAGCACACAAGAUAACUCUUAAGCUAUAGUUAAAAUAAACUAAACUGCAUUAAAAAUGAAGCA